UACGUAGGAGGCGAGCGUUGUCCGGAUUUACUGGGCGUAAAGGGCGCGCAGGCGGCCCCACCAAGUACGAUGUGAAAAUCUCCCCUGCUCAACGGGGGAGGGUGCACUGUAAAACUGGUGAGCUAGAGGGACGGUAGAGGGGGGGGUGGAAUUGCUGGUGUAGCGGUGAAAAUGCGUAGAGAUCAGCAGGAACACCCGUGGCGAAGGCGGCCCCCCCUGGGCCGUACCUGACGCUGAGGCGCGAAGGCUAGGGGG
rnacentral:rRNA from 1 species